rnacentral:rRNA from 1 species
UAGGGAAUAUUGGACAAUGGUCGCAAGACUGAUCCAGCCAUGCCGCGUGCAGGAAGACGGCCCUAUGGGUUGUAAACUGCUUUUGUACCAGAGAAAACCUAUCUACGUGUAGAUAGCUGAUAGUAUGGUAAGAAUAAGCAUCGGCUAACUUCGUGCCAGCAGCCGCGGUAAGACGAAGGAUGCAAGCGUUAUCCGGAUUCAUUGGGUUUAAAGGGUGCGUAGGCGGGCUUGUAAGUCAGUGGUGAAAUCUCUCAGCUUAACUGAGAAACUGCCAUUGAUACUGCAGGCCUAGAGUAUAGAUGACGUUGGCGGAAUAUGACAUGUAGUGGUGAAAUACUUAGAUAUGUCAUAGAACACCGAUUGCGAAGGCAGCUAACGAAACUAUAACUGACGCUGAGGCACGAAAGUGCGGGGAUCAAGCA